GAUUAAUGCUGGUGGUAUGCAUAACACAUGCAAGUCGAACGAAGAGGGUUUACUCUCUUAGUGGCGAACGGGCGAGUAACACAUAUUUAACUUACCUGCACGAGGAGAAUAGCAACUCGAAAGAGUUAUUAAUACUCCAUAGGUUUGAGACCCAAAUUAAAGGGAGCGUUCUGGGAAACUAGAGCUUCGCGAGCAGAGAGGAGUAUGUCCUAUUAGGUUGUUGGUGGGGUAACUGCCUACCAAGCCGAUGAUGGGUAGCUGGACUGAGAGGUCGACCAGCCGCAAUGGGAUUGAAAUACGGCCCAUAUUCCUACGGGAAGCAGCCAGUGAGGAAUUUUUCACAAUGGACGAAAGUCUGAUGGAGCAAUACCAUGUGAACGAUGAAGGUCUUCUGAUUGUAAAGUUCUUUUAUUUAGGAAAAAAAGCUUGAUAGGAAAUGAUUAAGCCUUGAUUGUACUAAAUGAAUAAGUGACAGCUAACUAUGUGCCAGCAGCUGCGGUAAAACAU
rnacentral:rRNA from 1 species